AUUGAACGCUGGCGGCAGGCUUAACACAUGCAAGUCGAGCGGGCGAGGUUGCUUCGGUAACUGAGCUAGCGGCGGACGGGUGAGUAAUGCUUAGGAAUCUGCCUAUUAGUGGGGGACAACAUUCCGAAAGGGAUGCUAAUACCGCAUACGUCCUACGGGAGAAAGCAGGGGCUCUUUAUGACCUUGCGCUAAUAGAUGAGCGUAAGUCGGAUUAGCUAGUUGGUGGGGUAAAGGCCUACCAAGGCGACGAUCUGUAGCGGGUCUGAGAGGAUGAUCCGCCACACUGGGACUGAGACACGGCCCAGACUCCUACGGGAGGCAGCAGUGGGGAAUACUGGACAAUGGGGGGAACCCUGAUCCAGCCAUGCCGCGUGUGUGAAGAAGGCCUUUUGGUUGUAAAGCACUUUAAGUGGGGAGGAGGCUUACCUGGUUAAUACCUGGGCUAAGUGGACGUUACCCACAGAAUAGGCACCGGCUAACUCUGUGCCAGCAGCCGCCGUAA
rnacentral:rRNA from 1 species